rnacentral:rRNA from 1 species
UACAGAGGGUGCAAGCGUUGUUCGGAAUUAUUGGGCGUAAAGAGCUCGUAGGCGGUCUGUCGCGUCGGCUGUGAAAUCCCGAGGCUCAACCUCGGGUCUGCAGUCGAUACGGGCAAACUUGAGUGUUGCAGGGGAGACUGGAAUUCCUGGUGUAGCGGUGAAAUGCGCAGAUAUCAGGAGGAACACCGGUGGCGAAGGCGGGUCUCUGGGCAACAACUGACGCUGAGGAGCGAAAGCGUGGGGAGCGAACAGG